ACAUGGGUUUGGAUUUAUGGCAGGCCUGUCACCCUGGGCCUCUCAUAGUACCCAUGCUUGAGCAAUCAGUGGCUCCAAACCUCUGUGCCUGUAGGCUGACCUCUGUACCUGUAGGCUGCUGGCACUGAACCAAGUUGCACAGUG
rnacentral:snoRNA from 1 species